AGCUCCCAGGAAUUACAGCGCUCUGGUUGAUCGAGGCUAAUGGGACCACCUGGAGUCGGUAAUUCGUUAUGUUGGGCCGUCGCUGCUCGCUGCCCCCAAACCAAGCUCGUAUCCCACUCUCCUAUUGUCAACCCAUCUCUCUUCUCUACUUUCGAGCGCCACCAAGCUAGGGUUUGCGGCCGCCGCCAACCUAGCUCCGACCGGCACCGUGGAUAUCCUCUUCGGCUACAACUUGCAUGUUGUUUCCCCGCCGAGAUUCGUGAUGCAAUUCGAGGUUGCUUGCCGCAUGCUCCUUUCUCCAUAGGUUACAGGCCACCUCGAGGUUCCCCUAUCUGCCAUCCACUCCGUUGCCCUGACUCCCACUGGCCCGCCCCCCUCCCCGUACGCAACACACUAUCAAUGACCGACUGGAGCAGUGACAGGACAACCAUCUUUGUCCCCAGUCCCAAUCUCCCACAAGACCCUGCAGCCCAAGAUCACUUCCGGCGGCCGCAUGUGCUUCCGCUCUGCCCUAGGGGCCGAGGUUGCACGGGUUGCUGAUGUUUCAGUCGAGUUCUUCGAUUUGGAUGUGGCAAAUUUGGUUUGUGCGUUUUCUUGCUUGAGGCACCAGUUUUAGAGAAAUAGGUCUUUGGUCUCCUUUGAGUAUAUCCAGCAAACAAGAAAUUUCCUAAACCUGGAGCCUAUUAAGCACGAAUAGGCGAGUGGCUACAUCCUUUUGUGCCUAUCAGGGUCUCAAGGAGGAAGAAGCGGGUAGUAUUUUUUUGUCAUCAACUAUUUUUAGCAAAUUGCAGGCUGCAACAUGAGCUCAUGGACGGAAAAUAAUUAAGAGAGCAGAAGUUACAAGGAUAAUAACAUCAUUAAACUGCUAUUGAAUUUUCAAAUUACAUAGAGCAGAAGUGGCAUCCUUACAGGGAUAGUAUAAAACAUACUACUACCUUUCUAACUUCUUAUAAGACAUUUUUAGAGUCUAUGACUAUGUCAAAAAGCGUCUUAUAUUAAGUUAUACUCCCGUGUUACCUACUCUAGUCAUAUGUGGAAGUAGAGGGAGAGUGUCUAUGAUAGUUUCUACACCCGUGUUACCUACUUCAGUCAUAGUCAGUUAUUCAUUCUAGGUUGCAAUUAUCUCAGUUUGAAGUAGGCUAAUAAGACACGUAAUAAUAUCUCUGUCAAGAUAUGUUAGUCAUUCCUUUAAUGAAAAGAUUGUACUAACACAUUCUUCUCUACAGUUCCUAGAAUAUGCAUAUGUUUCAGACAUAUAUAUGACAUCUGUAUGUUGAUCAUGACUAAUUCAUUGAUUUCUAGCAGUAAGCUGUUUUUCUUUUGUAAGGACUUCCUUUUAUUUCUCCUUUGUAUCAACACCCAUGACUAUUGAUUCUUUUGGAUAGUGCAUUCUGUAAGUUCAUUAUGGAAAUAGUACCAUUAACACUCUUUAGGUACUGAAAUAUGUAGAUCAGUUGCCUUUGUCAAACUCAUGCUAACCUAACAGGAUGCUCAACAUUCUCUUACCUUUCACACACUGCAUGUUCUCAAAACUGCAGUUGUAUUAGCGUUGCUGAUUGAUGUGCAUGGUCUUCUGUCAAUUUUUGUAUGUCAUGGGUCAAUCGAUGAUUGUAACUCGGAAAUGGUGCAACACAAAACUAUGCAAGUUAUGGUCUGUUAUUUUGGUGUUCAUUUAUACAACCUUUUCCCUACUUUCAGGAAGCUAGAAUCAAGCAAUGCAUGAUGAAAACAAUUGCUUGGACUGAUGUAUAGGCCCUUUUGAGUCAUCAUAGUUUUUCAGACGAAAAUAGCAUCAUUAAAUAUUGCAAUUUUAGAGAAGAUAUAGGUGCAUCAAAGCGAAGUACGUGAACGAAUUGUUUGAAGACAUGAUGGGCAUAUGUGUAUCAAGGGUUGCAUGUCAGUAAUAUUUGAAACAUGAAGGAUACAGAAAGAAGCCUUAUCUUUUCUUGCAAGGGAAAAAGAGGUGUUCAAUGUGCCAAGCUGCCAACUAUACAUCAAAGAGAGUAUAGUAUCACCAUGAUCACAAAAUAGGUAACUACAUCAAAAUAAAAUUUAUUGCAUGCACAAACAGAGUUACCCUGCUGCACGGGUAGUCUGGCGGAAAUCUGAAAGAGUAAAAGGGAGUAACAUUUCUGACCCUUACAUCCUUUUUCCCAUCAGCUAAGACUCAGUAGUGGCUGAAGAUUUUUUUUCUGUAAUAUGUGGAAGCUCAAGAUCGCUAUGGAUGGACCAUUGAUUAACAAUGGCGACAAUUAUUGGAAGAGAAUCAUGUAGUCUAACCAGAACAAUAGACCAUCUGAAAAGGCAGGAUGCAGUUGUGGCUGCAAGAGUCAAAUUUGAGAAGAAUAUGUUCAUGAAAAGAUAACUCUGCUCUGGUGCAGGUAAAAUGACAAGAAUUUCUAAAGAUCUUGAUAGUUUUCAGGGUCAAAUAAGUGGAUAGUUAUGUAUUUUUUCUACAUUGAUUCUCCCUUUCAUUUUAAUCACUAAACCAAAAGAAAAAGUUGACCUUCUACUACUUUAAUUCUUUCAUUUGAACAAUCCAUUCAUAAUUAAACUUAUUUGUCCACCCCAAAUAACACUGAACCAUUUUCCCGCUCAUUCCUCCCUUAAUCCCUAUAGCUUUCAGGUAGGCAUUUAUGUUGCUUUGUUGGCACUAGCACUAUGUUUGUUUUCCUCCUCGCUUCGUAUGAUCCUCUAAUAAGCUAAACUGUUAUUCAUCUUUUAAUUCCUUCAAUACAUUGAUGGUCAAAGUGUGAUCUUGAAGAUCGUGUCAGGUUCUAGACAAUAUUAACACACCUGUAUGUGAUAACUUGUAACUUUUUCUUUUGACAUGAUGAUAACUAACUAUUUAAGAGAGAAACAUCAAGUAAUUGAUCAUGGACUAGUUUACAUCGCGUUGUGUGAAAUAGACAAAUACUUGACUCUGUCAUAUAGGCGGCAUACUAUAUCUAUGCCAUCCCUUGCUAAAUAUUUAGUUGUUCAAUACCUGAAGCAUAUGGUGAUUACCUGUGGUCUGUGGUAAUCCAUAUACAUAGUAACAUUUGAGAAAUGUGCAGUAUCAUUUCAACAUCAGUUUUUAAGCACCAAAAAUGCAACUUAUCGAAGUAGUACCUAAUUGCCACCCAACUUCAUUAAGGCUUCAUCCAGCAAUGGCUAAAAAUAAAGCGUGGGACUUCAAAGUAGGUAAGGUCUGCACUAAUUAGAGGUUCAUUUCACAGCCACUCCUGUUUAUGUAGUAUUUUAUUGUGUUGUGCUUUAUAAUAUAUGAUUUUAUUAGAAAAGACUUAGUAUCCUUUUGUUUCCAUUUGAAUUUAAUUUUCUCUUGCAGUUAAAGGUGGCUGGAAGUUUUUGCAUGAUCUACACAUUCACACUAUAAGAUAUGGAAAUGUUAGCCAUGUAUUCCUUCUCUUGUUUAACUCUUGAUGAUUCAGUGAGUUAGUUUUGUCGUUAGAUUCUCAUCCACUUCUGUUAAAUAUGUUAUGCUAUUCCUUCCUCUAAUUAUCCUAAGUUCUUUGUGGCAUCAACGUGUUUGCCUAUGUUCAUGAUUCUGUAUGAGUGAUUUAAUUUUUUGUCUUACUCUAUGCGUAGGUAUGCAGAGCAUUGAUGCUGCCAAUCGAUCAUCUGCCCCAAGCUUACCAAAGACAGAAAUUCCAAGGCAGUUGGCACAAUAUUCUAAUGGAAUAACAAAUAAGGAGAAGGAGCACAUUGGCAAGUCAAGGAGGCAGACCAAGCAAAUGACGUCAUUGUGCUUGGCCCAUUGGUUCUUCUCAACAACUAGCUCGAUCUUGACAAGGUAAGGGCCACACAUCCAAUAAAUAGUAUGUUCAUUUCCUUGCAUUAAUUUUGCAAAAAAAAAAGAUGUUGAAUGAUACCAACGAUAUUGGCACAUCUAUAUUUGGCAUUGACUAAUUAAUCGAUUUAUUCAUGUGUUCCUCAUCCGAGGAGGCAAACAGAACAACUCCUUGGGCCGAUUGACACAGUGUAGCUUAGAGGUUAGUUCUCAAUAUCCCUUCACCUGCAUGAUCUCAACUUCCUAUAAAUCUGGCCAUCAUUCUUCUUGCCUAAACAGAUGAACACAAAAUGAUACUCUGAUUUUUUGUAUUUGAUGGCUAAUUUUUCUCUUGGACACACAACAACGGAUAUUAUAUUUGAUGGCCUGAAUUUUUCUAUUGGACACAAAACAACGGAGGUUGUAUUUGAUGGCUUGGAUUUUUCUUAUGGACACAGAUAGAACAUACAUUGUAUUUGACGGCCUUCAUUUUUCUUAUGGACAAAGAAACUGCAGAGGACUGCCGACGAAAUCUGGGUCGACUUUCAAUUCUCUGCACUAUUGCAUCCCUUCCAUAUCCAUGCCUUCCUCCCGCAACCCUGGAUCAAAUUCCGGCAAGCUCCCCAGCCCAGAUCCACAACCCCGUGAUACACUGCAUUCGACCUCUGGCUCAUAUGGUUCAAUAGAAGAUGGUAAUUUUCUGUUGUGCUGGCUUCACCGCUAUGGACAUGGGGUUCAUGUUGCAUGUCAUGUUCCAUAUAGUGUGCUGACCACUGUCGCAUCUGCUGACCUACAACUGUCACUGGUGAGCACUUCCUUUUUCUAUAACUUCCUACUCUAGCCUGCACCAACAUGUUACUGAUGUGGUCGUAUACCGACGGGAUAGGGAGCACAAGUGACUAAACAGGUGCGCCUCAUAUUGCAUUGUUUCAUUUUGAGUUUCUGAAAGAGUAGUUACUCUUAGUCUUGUGCUUGCACUUUAAUCUGUUUCCCCUUUAGACAUAAUAUAUGUAUUUUUUUUGGUGUGUGCGUCCAUGCUGUAAAUGCAUAUUUUUGAUUCAAUCAAUUGUUACGCUGAAUUACUCCACUUCUUUGAGUUUGAAAUAGCAAUAGGUCAUUCUAAGUUGAGAAAAAGUAUGCUUUAGAUCGUUAUAGUACCAUGUACAGGAUCAGAAACUAUCUUGUACCUUUCCAAAUAAUCUCAUUAUAUUCCUUUUAAUAUAUAUUUUUCUAUAUCACUAUCUUUGCUACAAAAUUGUUUACAGACAAUUUAAGUUGUCAUUUAGCUAUUUUAAGCAUGUACUACAACAAGGUAGUAGUUAAUUUCAAUGGUGUUUCAAGGCACAUAUUUUUUUUGUUGCUUCCUCGAAAACAAAACAUUCAAAUUUAAUAUAUAAUUGAUUAAAGUCAAUAGUGGAUUGUGGUUGGUGCGUUUUUUCUAAUUUCAGUGUUUUUCAUGGAAGUUAUUUCUUGCUUUUUUUGUAGUUUCACUUUGCUUCGGAGUUCUAGUGUAAUCUAAGAUUCAUAAUUUGAGAUGCUACAAAAUUAGGACCUACUUGAUCUCCACCUAUGUAUUUUUCUGUUUAUAUGCCAACAAGAUUGUGUCAUGAUCUGUAGUCCGUGAAGUGCUACUGCAACAUCAGUUCAUGAUGUACUAUUCACAUGGCCUAAUGACACAACAUUGGUUGCAAACAAGAGAAGAAUAAUUGGUUUUCUUACAAAGACAAAGUAGCAACUAAAAUAGUUUUCAAGCAUGGAUCGGUCGAAGUCGCUUUCAAGGACAAAUGGUGCAUAGUUUUUAUGCAUUGUUAGUUGUCUAUGUGUAACAAGUUCAAUACUUGCAGAGCUGCAAUAUUUAUAGUUGUUCAACAAUGAGUUCAACACCUUAACUUCCAUAAGGCAUCAAAGAAGUAAUCUUCAACAAGAUGAAAUUCCAUCAUAUAUACAUUGUAGUUAAAGAUGUAAGUGGGGACAAUAGCUUUAUAUCUGACACUAUGGCCAUUUUUUGAAAUGACCAUUCAUUAAAUCCCUGGUUUGCUAAUGAAUUGCACUAUUGAUACAUCUUUGAUCUUGCAUAAAAGGUAAAAUUAAUGUUCUUUUUAGUUGUUAUGUCAGGUGUGAAAAUAUUUUUGCAUGGAUGUUAUUCAGUAAUUUUUGAAUCAGAUCACAUGACACACACACACACACACACCACCUAACAAAUUGCUAAUUCAUUUUGUUAUAGUUGUAUAUAUACUCAUUUUGGUGUUUGGCCAUAGUAAAUAAAUCACAAUGCUGAUGAUAUUACCUCAGAUAAAUUAUUUUGGGGAACUAAGUGGAUGUUGAAUCAGGAAACAAGUCACACAUGGAAGUUUCACUAUUUUGUUUACUUAAAUUUCAUCAAUAUAUGCACACUAAGCAUACCGCCUUAAGCCCACAUGAACACUCAACUUCAUUUUAUCCUGUCGACUGCUAGGGGCCACUCAAUUAUUUUAACAAAUGUAUGGAACUAAGAGGGUUGUUCCUUCUGCUUUUUCAUGCUCCAAGCACGGCGAUCAUAUCUUUGUAGAAGUAUGCUUAGCAGAACUGUGGACAACAUCAUGCUUUGUGGCAUAGGUAUGCAAAAUUUCCAAUUCCAUUUUUAGAUGACGUCAACAUAGAAAACAUAGCAUGUCAAAAAAAAAAGAAAAAUAUAUUUGUGUGGAUGGACAGCCCGGAAUUAAAUCAUAGUCCAUAACAAUGGUCUUUUCUGUAAGGUCAAUGUAAGCAGAAAAGGUUCAAGCAAGGCAAAUACAAACACAUGUUGUUCAAAUGUCGGUCAUCGUUUCAUCUUGGGCAAUUUGUUCAGAAAUGCAGUAAAGGAUCAACUCUAUAUCAACUUGCGUGUGUUAGAGAGAUUUAGUUGCUAAGUUGAACUCUUAAAUUUUGUUGAAGGAAAACCAAACUUGCAGUUUUUCAUUAUGCGGGAUUGUAUUCCAUCAGCUAUGGAGUGAUGGUUGAUCGUAUAUGUACUGGCUUUUGUUCUAACUUUUGAUGAUUUUAUCAGUAAAUGAUUCCUAGCCACCGCUGUCA